GGUGGCUCAGUGGUAGAGCACUUGUAUUGCAUGCAUGAGGCCCUGGGUUCCAUUCCUCAGCACCA
rnacentral:tRNA from 1 species